UCCAGUCUCAGGAUUCUUUAGGGCAUAAUCAACAGAGAAAGUCACUGGCUUCACAUAAUCAGCUGUAUCCUGAAAGAAUAAAAAGAACAGGCCUAGACAGAUGCUGCAUCCCCAUUCAGAAAAAUGGAUAAUCCAGUCCUAGAUUCUUUUGGCGCCAGGCUGGGACCCAUUUUGGGAACAACAAAGAGGAGAAGCAUCUUCAAACACCAACAGAAGAUGAGAAAGGGACUGACUGGCUUAAGUAAGAAAUAUCCUGCAACCAGAUGGGAAAGAGAGACUCAAGGCUUCAAAGAAGCCUGCCUCAAGGGGCACACUCAUAAAGGAGACCUAAAGGCUUCCUAUCUCCGUUCCCAAGAUUUGGUACUCUAAUCUUUGACAUUAAAUACAUUAAAGAAAAUC